UGACCUCAAAUCAGGUAGGAUUACCCGCUGAACUUAAGCAUAUCAAUAAGCGGAGGAAAAGAAACUAACAAGGAUUCCCCUAGUAACUGCGAGUGAAGCGGGAAAAGCUCAAAUUUAAAAUCUGGCGGUCUUUGGUCGUCCGAGUUGUAGUCUGGAGAAGUGCUUUCCGCGCUGGACCGUGUACAAGUCUCUUGGAACAGAGCGUCAUAGAGGGUGAGAAUCCCGUCUUUGACACGGACUACCAGUGCUUUGUGAUGCGCUCUCAAAGAGUCGAGUUGUUUGGGAAUGCAGCUCAAAAUGGGUGGUGAAUUCCAUCUAAAGCUAAAUAUUGGCGAGAGACCGAUAGCGAACAAGUACCGUGAGGGAA
rnacentral:rRNA from 1 species